rnacentral:rRNA from 1 species
CCUACGGGCGGCAGCAGUGAGGAAUAUUGGUCAAUGGCCGUAAGACUGAACCAGCCAAGUCGCGUGAAGGAAGAAGGAUCUAUGGUUUGUAAAUCUCUUUUAUAGGGGAAUAAAGGUAUCCACGUGUGGAUAUUUGCAUGUACCCAAUGAAUAAGCAUCGGCUAACUCCGUACCAGCAGCCGCGGUAAUACGGCGGAUGCGAGCGUUAUGCGGCAUUAUUGGUUUUAAAGGGUGCGUAGGUUGUUUUUUAAGUCAGCGGUGAAUGUUUGUGGCUCAACCAUAAAAUUGCCGUUGAAACUGGAAGACUUGAGUGUGUUUGAGGUAGGCGGAAUGCGGGGUGUAGCGGUGAAAUGCAUAGAUAUCACGCAGAACUCCGAUUGCGAAGGCAGCUUACUAAGCCAUAACUGACACUGAAGCACGAAAGCGAGGGUAUCAAACAGGAUUAGAUACCCUUGUAGUC